AUGAACGCUGGCGGCGUGCCUAAUCCCUGCAAGUCGAGCGAACAGACGAGGAGCUUGCUCCUCUGACGUUAGCGGCGGACGGGUGAGUAACACGUGGAUAACCUACCUAUAAGACUGGGAUAACUUCGGGAAACCGGAGCUAAUACCGGAUAAUAUAUUGAACCGCAUGGUUCAAUAGUGAAAGACGGUUUUGCUGUCACUUAUAGAUGGAUCCGCGCCGCAUUAGCUAGUUGGUAAGGUAACGGCUUACCAAGGCAACGAUGCGUAGCCGACCUGAGAGGGUGAUCGGCCACACUGGAACUGAGACGCGGUCCAGACUCCUACGGGAGGCAGCAGUAGGGAAUCUUCCGCAAUGGGCGAAAGCCUGACGGAGCAACGCCGCGUGAGUGAUGAAGGUCUUCGGAUCGUAAAACUCUGUUAUUAGGGAAGAACAAAUGUGUAAGUAACUAUGCACGUCUUGACGGUACCUAAUCAGAAAGCCACGGCUAACUACGUG
rnacentral:rRNA from 1 species